rnacentral:rRNA from 1 species
ACAGGGAUUCCCUGAGUAACGGCGAGCGAAAAGGGAAGAGCCCAGCGCCGAACCCCCGACCUCUCCGGUCGCGGGGAAUGUGGCGUUUAGGAGUGAGCGUGCCGGGAUCGAACUCUGCAGCAAGUCCCCCUGACCGGGGCCUUCCCAGAGCGGGUGCGAGGCCCAUAGCCGCAGAAUUCGUCUCGGAUGCGAUCUCCUGGGAGUCGGGUUGCUUGGGAGUGCAGCCCUAAUCGGGUGGUAAACUCCACCUAAGGCUAAAUACCGCCGUGAGACCGAUAGCAAACAAGUACCGUGAGGGAAAGUUGCAAAGAACUUUGAAGAGAGAGUUCAAGAGUACGUGAAACUGCUCAGAGGUAAACGGGUGGGCCCUCGAAAUCCGGUGGCGUGAGGAUUCAGCCCGGAGGGACGAAGGCUCGUGCGGUUCCCCUCGCGGUUCCGAUGACGGACCGCCCCGCACGUCACGCGCCUUGUUCCCGCCCGACGCAUUUCCUCUCGCCCGCAAGGACGCCGCAGCCGGUCGGGUUCUCCCACAAGACGGCCUUAAGACGUCUCAAGGCAGGUGGCCGGUGGAGGGUCUCGUACUCUCGGCCGGUGCUAGCCGGGGCGCUUUCUGGCUCGUCACCCGACCGAGGAAUCGAUGGGUCUCUCUUGGGAGGGGCCCGCGCGUCUCCGUCUCUCCCGAGACGCGGGGGCACCGCGACAGAUGGUUGCUUGCCGGCCGGUCCACGCUCUCGUGCGUGGUCGGCUUGUCGGCGCCUUCCCUGGUCGCGGGCCUGCCCGCGGGAGCAGUCGAAGGCUAGCGGCGAGUAGGUCGGUCACCCACCCGACCCGUCUUGAAACACGGACCAAGGAGUCUAACAUGUGCGCGAGUCAAUGGGUCUUGAUUAUGCCCAAAGGCGCAAUGAAAGUAAAGACCGGCUCGAGCGGCCGGUCGUGUUGGGACUCCCCCGUUGAUUAUUUCGGGGGAAGCACCAACGACCCGUCCCGUCCGGACUCCGGUGGGGCGGAGUCUGAGCGUACACGUUGGGACCCGAAAGAUGGUGAACUAUGCCUGGGCAGGACGAAGCCAGAGGAAACUCUGGUGGAGGUCCGUARCGGUUCUGACGUGCAAAUCGAUCGUCAGACCCGGGUAUAGGGGCGAAAGACUAAUCGAACCAUCUAGUAGCUGGUUCCCUCCGAAGUUUCCCUCAGGAUAGCUGGCGCUCGGAGAUAAUCAGUCUCAUCCGGUAAAGCGAAUGAUUAGAGGCCUUGGGGCCGAAACGACCUCAACCUAUUCUCAAACUUUAAAUGGGUGAGAAGUCCGGCUUGCGCGACUGAAGCCCGGACGUUCGGAUGAGAGUGCCCAGUGGGCCACUUUUGGUAAGCAGAACUGGCGCUGUGGGAUGAACCAAACGCUGGGUUACGGCGCCCGAUGCGAGACGCUCAUGAGACCCCAUGAAAGGUGUUGGUUGCUAUAGACAGCAGGACGGUGGCCAUGGAAGUCGGAAUCCGCUAAGGAGUGUGUAACAACUCACCUGCCGAAGCAACUAGCCCUGAAAAUGGAUGGCGCUCCAGCGUCGAGCCCAUACCCGGCCACCGGGGCAGAGCCGAGAAAGAGGUUUACGCCCCGGCGAGUAGGAGGGUCGCAGCAGCGAGCGUUGAAGGUGCCGGGCGCGAGCCCGCCUGGAGCCGCUGCUGGUGCAGAUCUUGGUGGUAGUAGCAAAUACUCAAGUGAGAACCUUGAGGACUGAUGUGGAGAAGGGUUCCAUGUGAACAGCAGUUGAACAUGGGUCAGUCGGUCCUAAGGGAUAGGAGAAAUCCGUUCCGAAGCGGGACGUUAAUGCGUGUGCAAGUCCCGCGACUGACCGAAAGGGAAUGGGGUUAAUAUUCCCCAACCCGGACACGGAGAUCGGGCCCUCGGGUCCAAGUGCGGUAACGCAACCGAACUCGGAGACGUCGACGGGAGCCCCGGGGAGAGUUGUCUUUUCUUUGUAAGGGUUCGUGUCCCUGGAAUCGGCUCGUCCGGAGAUAGGGACGCUGUUCCCGUAAAGCACCGCGGCUCUUGCGGUGUCCGGAGCGCUCCUGCCGGCCCUUGAAAAUCCGAGGGAGGAAGUGUGAUUUUCGUGCCGGACCGUACCCAUAUCCGCAGCAGGUCUCCAAGGU